UGCAAGUCGAGCGGACUGUGCCUUCGGGUACAGUUAGCGGCGGACGGGUGAGUAACACGUAGGCAACCUGCCCGCAAGACCGGGAUAACUAACGGAAACGUUAGCUAAUACCGGAUAGGCGGCCUUCUCGCAUGAGGGGGCCGGGAAAGACGGAGCAAUCUGUCACUUGCGGAUGGGCCUGCGGCGCAUUAGCUAGUUGGUGGGGUAACGGCUCACCAAGGCGGCGAUGCGUAGCCGACCUGAGAGGGUGAUCGGCCACACUGGGACUGAGACACGGCCCAGACUCCUACGGGAGGCAGCAGUAGGGAAUCUUCGGCAAUGGACGAAAGUCUGACCGAGCAACGCCGCGUGAGUGAGGAAGGCCUUCGGGUCGUAAAGCUCUGUCGCCAGGGACGAACGGCGAUGUGUUAACUGCACAUCGUGUGACGGUACCUGAGAAGAAAGCCCCGGCUAACUACGUGCCAGCAGCCGCGGUAAUACGUAGGGGGCAAGCGUUGUCCGGAAUUAUUGGGCGUAAAGCGCGCGCAGGCGGCGGUUUAAGUCUGGAGUUUAAGCCCGGGGCUCAACCCCGGAUCGCUCUGGAAACUGGAUCGCUUGAGUGCAGGAGAGAGAAGCGGAAUUCCACGUGUAGCGGUGAAAUGCGUAGAGAUGUGGAGGAACACCAGUGGCGAA
rnacentral:rRNA from 1 species